rnacentral:rRNA from 1 species
UGGAAGUAAAAAGUCGUAACAAGGUCUCCGUUGGUGAACCAGCGGAGGGAUCAUUACCGAGUUAUACAACUCCCAAACCCACUGUGAACCUUACCUCAGUUGCCUCGGCGGGAACGCCCCGGCCGCCUGCCCCCGCGCCGGCGCCGGACCCAGGCGCCCGCCGCAGGGACCCCAAACUCUCUUGCAUUACGCCCAGCGGGCGGAAUUUCUUCUCUGAGUUGCACAAGCAAAAACAAAUGAAUCAAAACUUUCAACAACGGAUCUCUUGGUUCUGGCAUCGAUGAAGAACGCAGCGAAAUGCGAUAAGUAAUGUGAAUUGCAGAAUUCAGUGAAUCAUCGAAUCUUUGAACGCACAUUGCGCCCGCCAGCAUUCUGGCGGGCAUGCCUGUUCGAGCGUCAUUUCAACCCUCGAGCCCCCCCCGGGGGCCUCGGUGUUGGGGGACGGCACACCAGCCGCCCCCGAAAUGCAGCGGCGACCCCGCCGCAGCCUCCCCUGCGUAGUAGCACACACCUCGCACCGGAGCGCGGAGGCGGUCACGCCGUAAAACGCCCAACUUUCUUAGAGUUGACCUCGGAUCAGGUAGGAAUACCCGCUGAACUUAAGCAUAUCAAUAAGCCGGAGGAA